rnacentral:SRP_RNA from 1 species
GCCAGGCGUGGUGGCUCAUGCCUGUAGUCCCAGCACUUUGGGAGGCUGAGGCAGGAGGAUCACUUGAGGCCAGGAGUUCGAGACCAGCCUGGCCAACAUGGUGAAACCCUGUCUCUA